rnacentral:rRNA from 1 species
AUACGUAGGGAGCGAGCGUUGUCCGGAAUUAUUGGGCGUAAAGGGUGCGUAGGCGGCAAUACAAGUCAGAUGUGAAAUCCCCGGGCUUAACUCGGGAGUUGCAUUUGAAACUGUAUAGCUUGAGUGAAGAAGAGGUAAGUGGAAUUCCUAGUGUAGCGGUGGAAUGCGUAGAUAUUAGGAGGAACACCAGUGGCGAAGGCGACUUACUGGUCUUUUACUGACGCUGAGGCACGAAAGCGUGGGGAGC